AUUCCCGCUCACUCGCUCCCUCCCUCCCAAUAUUUGGAUUUCCCAGUUCCCACACCAGAGAUUAACUUCCCUCUCCUUCUCCCUGACCUAAUCGGACAGAGAUUAACUUCCCUCUCCUUCUCCCUGACCUAAUCGGACGACGUCACCCAAUGAGUGGCGACUGUUCUUGGCAGCAUCGAUGAAGGGGAUUCUAGAGCAGAAAAGACAUUUCUGCUUCACUUUUGCUACUUCAUGAUGUACAGAAAUAUCUUGGUUACUAAUAACAUGCCCACCAAGUGUUCGAUGAUUUGCUUACCACUAGGGACGUGAUUUGCUCGUUUCUAACCCUAAACCACUGAUAGUCCAUGAAUUUUUAUUCUGAUUUGCAAAUUGCUACUCAAAAUUUGUAUGUUUUCUUUAUCAGAUAGUUUCAAUGCUUUCGAUUUGUCUAUCUAGAACUCCAGGCACUGAUUUUUGUUCUUUUAGGGUUGUGGAAGGUUGUGGGUUUCUUUUCUAUUUGCAAAUAGCCACAUUGUUAAAGCACUAAGUUUUUGCAGUACUGGUGUGCUGAUUUUGUUCCCAACAGCAAAUAUCUUUGUGUAGAUGAUCAUCAUCAAAAUCAGAGCACGUAUUGUUUUGUUGGACAACCUGGUCCGUGAAUAGAUUUUAGUGUAGAACUUGUAUCAGGGGCUCAGGGCUGGAAUACAGGUCAGUUAUUCUUGUAUAUUCUUUCAGGCAGUGUUCCAGUGUGAGUAUUUCAUUUCUUGGAGGGUGCAUUUUAUUAGUGUAUUAUUCUUGGCUCUAAAAAAUCCUUAUAGGGCUGGGGGGCUGGUUAACCCGUGAACAAACCGGUUAACCCAACAAUGGGCACCUACUCCAUUGGAAUAUAACUUGUCAAACAGACGGAGCUCACCGAAAUGAAGUGGUCAGCAACGGAACAAGACUUGUUGCUUUCUAGAGAGAAGAUGGCUGGAAACGAAGUGGUUGGAACUUGGUGAGUAAUGGGGGAGAAUUGUAAGAAGUAUGGUGUUCCAUUCUGCGGUGCUUCUUUCAUAGCACAUAAUGCCCUCAAAUCAUCUGGCACAGAUGCCAAGAAAGAAGACGAAGAUUCUGGUAACCGACCAAAUUAUGUGAUUUUUGCGGCUGGCAGUGGUGAAGGUCGAAGUGGCAUCCCAAAUGCUUUAGUCAUCUCACUUAUCGAUUCGGCCUCUAAUUCCCUUUCUGAUCAGGAUGGUUCUCUACAUGUAGUUGGUGACUUGGUGAGUACAUGAUGGUACAUUGAGGGUGUUCAAAGUGGCCUACCAUGGCAUUAGUCCUUGAUGCGCCUAAGGCUCAUACAUCUGUGAAAAAAAUUAGAUUUCAGUCCUGACGGGAAAUAUCGUGUGUCGGUUGGAAGUGGCCCUGGUACGGUUUGGGAUAUCUCAUCGUCAAUAGCUAAAGCUUCUUUAUCAAAAGAAAAUGAUGAAGUUUUUGAAUUUUGCAAAUUUUCACUUAAUGGAGAGAGUGAUCCCUUUCUCUAUGUCACUGCAAUGCGAGGUUGAAUAUAGUGAAUUGGUUGAUGCGGCGACAAUAAGGAGCAAGUGCAAGGAACAACUAUGAAGUGUGAAAUACGAUCGCUAAGAAAGAGUUAACACAAUGAAUAUUUUACUCACAUGAAGAAUGUGAAAGAGAUUCAUGAGCGCCAUGGAGUUUUGAGUUUUUGUUCAAACAUUUUUUAAAUAUUUGUUUUUUAUGUUCGAUAUUUAGACUAAGGUUGACACUUAUUAGUUAUUUCUUUGCAAACAUUUGGAAUCUUUGGAAGAUGAUUGAUUGAAUUUUUUAAUUGAAUUGAUUAUAUUAUUAUGA